GGGACCGGCGGCUGCCAGCAAGUCCCAAGCAGAUGCCUCUGGCGGGGCAGCCGCAUUCUACAGCGCCCAUUCCGCGUACAUCGAGUAUCCAAAAUGAGUAAAAUCGGUUUAUACGUUGGAAUGUAGCUUAUGAUUCCAAAAUCUCAUCUCCAGGCUGCCUAGAUCACACGGCCCCGUUUCAUUCAUUUUUACUUAAUAACGGUCGUUGGACAAUUUAGAGAAGCAGCAGAAACCACGAGAAAAACAGUGGAGUCAAACGGCGGCGCUGUUGUAGGAGCAAGGGAUACAAUGAUGAUCAAGGCAGAUGCAGCCCUUACCUUCAGGUCGUGGAGUCCGGAUACAGACUGGAGGCAGGCAGCUGUAAGAUGUGUGACAAAUGCUGCGCUGGAUCAGCCCAUGGUAUUAGGAGAGCAGGUAAGGGAGGGUGGGGACGGGAGCGGACAACCUGGAGGAAGAGGCACCUAAGCAGAGUCCGGAAGGCUGAGGAGGAGUCAGCAGGUGAAAGAGAGGGGAAUCAUGACAUGCCACCUCAACUGUAGGGCACGGCUAGCUGGCUGACUUAGCUGCUGUAACACCGGAUUUUUGCAAGACUCCCUGAGUAUUUCUCGUGGACUUGCGAACAAAUCUGAGCAAGAAAACCACGUAAUUUCUUUUAUGCCCUGCCCAAGAAAGCCA
rnacentral:lncRNA from 1 species